AUGAGUACAGUCACGUGGGCUCCGGGAAGGGGAGGCCCCACGGAGGGGAGGCCACGGGGCGUCUGCCUGGAGCCUCGCCUGUGCUCGAGGCCCCACGCCCUCCAGCUCUGCCCUGCCCCCUGCCCUCAGGGCUCCCCCUCUGUGUGGGGCUCCCGGGAACGUGCACACACAUGGUCAGGAAGGGCAGAGGCAGAAACCCGCUCGAAGCCUCGAGAAAGCCUCCCUCGCCCCACAGUUAUCUGGUUUUGCGUCAAUGGAACGAGAAAAGCAAGGACCCAGGCUGCCACCUCCCACCCUCACCCCGGAGAAGGGAUGCGCCAUUUCCUCUCAGCACCCCCCCCCCCAUCUGGGCACCUUGUCCCGGCCAAGUGCACGGGGAGGCCGGAGCGAAGACACCGCAGCUCAGAAGGAGCCCUCCAGGGGCGAUCAGGGAGCCGGGUGGCCAGAGUCCGUGGGGCGCCGGCAUCACUGGCCGUGAGCCCAGAGGGGGGGCAGCAGGAGCCCCCGAGAAGUGGACAGGCCUUACCUGGGCAGCUGGCAGGCAGCUUGCUGGGCUGGUCCCUGGUGGUUCUGCCUCCCAGGAACCAGAGCCCUCAAGGGCAGGGCUCGGUCGGUGCCUCUGUCUUUGAAGACAUGUGUGACAAGGGCGGCUGCCGGGAGACGCUGGGAGGCGGCCCUCGCCUCAGCCAGCCCCUUGUGCCGGGGGGGGGGUGGGGGGGUGGGGGGGGAGGGUGCCGGCCCAGUGGGGGGCAGAGCCGACUCCUGCUCCCCUCUGUGGCUCCCUGUGUCCCUUCCUCGCCUCUGUCUCCCUCUCCCAUCCUGGCACGUCACGCCCUCUGCCACGGCCCCCAAGAAGAGGCUGGCACCAGCGAGCAGCUCACACGGGUGCCGGGGCCACCGAGCACUGCCACCAGUUUUGGCGAUGUGGCCCAGGGGCGCCUGGCUCCUGUGGCCCGCGCCCGGCCUCCACCGGGCCUGAUCAAUACCAAUUUACUGUCAAACGCAGGGGCCGCCUUCCCGUUAAUGAAUUUCCCGGUGCUCACCAGCUUCUAA
rnacentral:lncRNA from 1 species